AUACCGCAUACGAUCUACGGAUGAAAGCAGGGGAUCGCAAGACCUUGUGCUAAUAGCGGCCGAUAUCAGAUUAGGUAGUUGGUGAGGUAAAAGCUCACCAAGGCAUCGAUCAAGCUGGUCUGAGAGGACGACCAGCCACACUGGGACUGAGACACGGUCCAGACUCCUACGAGGCAGCAGUGGGGAAUUUUGGACAAUGGGCGCAAGCCUGAUCCAGCCAUGCCGCGUAGGAUGAAGGCCUUCGGGUUGUAAAGUUCUUUUGUCAGGAAAGAAACGGCUUUUUAUAACAGAGGGCUCAUGACGGUACCGUAAGAAUAAGCACCGGCUAACUACGUGCCAGCAGCCGGUAAUACGUAGGGUGCAAGCGUUAAUCGGAAUUACUGGGCGUAAAGCGUGCGCAGGGUUAUGUAAGACAGUUGUGAAAUCCCCGGGCUCAACCUGGGAAUGGCGUUGGUGACUGUGGCUAGAGUUCGGCAGAGGGGGGUGGAAUUCCGCGUGUAGCAGUGAAAUGCGUAGAUGCGGAGGAACACCGAUGGCGAAGGCAGCCCCCUGGGCCAAAACUGACGCUCAUGCACGAGCGUGGGGAGCAAACAGGAUUAGAUACCCUGGUAGUCCACGCCCUAAACGAUGUCAA
rnacentral:rRNA from 1 species